rnacentral:tmRNA from 1 species
GCACACUUUUUUAUGUCACAUAUGGGAGAUUCCCCACUCCAGCCCACUUUAUUAUUAUCCUGCAGCUCACAAAAUAAUUUACUUUCUCCCAGAAGAUUGUAGCCGGGAUCACAGUAAAACACUGCCUCGGUACCAUAGCUAGGACUGGUAUCAUUGUCUUUAAAAUGGUAAUUAGCGCCCCCAUUGGUUGGAAAGGUAACGUGUGGGCACCUCUUUCUGUUACAGGGAGUCACGGUUGUCCACAUAUUAUCCCCUAAGCAGGUUACUGUCUUCCGCCCCCCUGCGCCUGGUGUGAACCCUGGCCUACAGCGGAGCUGCAGGGUGGUGCCACUUUUGACUGGUGGUGUAAAUUUAGGAGAUGUUAGUGUGGGCAUUUGAGGAAGAUGGUGGCACAUGUUGUCACCAUUUACACCCACAAUCCCCACCAAUACUGCGCAGAAAAAGUGGAAGUUGGCCAUGAUUUUGUUGAGAGUAAUUUUUAUUAACCCUUUAAUAGAGAUUCGGGGUAGGGCCACAAGGAAUUGAAACUUAACAGGGUACAGUUAUUCUAGAAAGUCAUAAAUCUCAAUACCAUAUUCCCAGAUGAAUGUAACCAUGGAAAUAGCAUGAUACAUCGACACAACGGAUUUGAUAAAAAAUUUCUUACCCUUUUUCUCUACAGAAACUUCACAAGGGUAAUCAAGCUGCAUGAGGAGUGUUUCCUCUUUAGACAUCCAAAAAGUGGCCACACACAACCGUGGCUGAUCGAAAAGUCCAAUUUGGUGAUAAAUUAUAUAAAUUGCCCGUCCCUCUAGGAGAAUAUUUUCAUGAAUGACAAUCUCUGGUACUGGCGAACUUCUGUAGUUGGUAUAACAUGGCCAGUUAUCCCACAAGGUAGGGAGAGUGCAGGGGUUGGCUGUAAUGUUGACCAGCUGUGUGGCAUUUGAACCUCUUGAAGAACUGUUCCUUGAAAUAUUAUGAGCCUCAGAAGUAUAGUUAUCCCAUGCCGAGGAACAAGUGUCCACAAAAUGGGUCUCAUUCCUUCUCCUGAUUUGACAGUUCUUCACAUGGGGAGAAGGAAUUAGCACAGAGGAAGUUGGUCUCUUCCCAGUUCUAGGGUCAGUCAAAUUUUUUUGUUGAAGGGUGUAUGUUUGACAAUAAAUAAAUUUAUCAGUCAGUCGCAUAACCAUGUCCACGUGCAAAUCUGCAUAAAGUGCCAGGAGGGGCUGGUUGAUGAGAUUUAUGGUAGCAGACUCGUGUAUCAAAAAUCCAGGUAUUUCUGCCCAGUAUGUUAUGGCAUAAUCAGUUUUUGAAACUACACUAAAGGCGACUUCCCACUGACUGGAUCUAAAUUUCAUGGACACUUUGAGGUUGGCGAAUGACUUCCAGAUGGGCAACUUGGCAGGAUGCAGGGAGAUGAAAGUUGGAAAGGAUACAUAUUGACUUCUAAUCGACCCACCAACGAUAGACUUGAUCUCAGGUGGAAGCGGCAAAGAUAUGAUUCUUAGCAUUUCUACUGGCACAACACUGUAAAUGGUCCGGGCGCUGCAUACCUGGUUCAAGGUUUCAGAGUUCAGGAAUCUGGAUAAAUCUUUCCAGCGGGUGGGCGUGCAGAAUAAUUUCCUGGAUGGAUAUACGCAGACAUAAUAGCUGCUCCCGCCAGUAACAUCUGGUACUAGUCCCUUCACGAAGGUCAGCCGAUGGAUUUUUACAGGAAUAUCAUCAUCUUCUCCAGGGGUGGGUGUGGCUAGGCUGACGACCGCCAGGAAAAAGAAACCAAAGGACGCAGCCCAGGGUCUUCCUAACGGUCCCAUCGCAACAAGAGCAAAUGAUGAUGUGAGGCCGGACCUUUUAUAGCCUCCAUGGAUAAUUAGAUCAUCCCUGAUUGCCCAAUAGAAUUUUUGGUGAAUUUUAACUAAAAAUCUAGGCUGGGUGCCCACCAUACACUCAUCUGACUUGCUGCAUACGUAGAACACACGCCACCCAAAGGAACAUUCUAGGUGUGAAAAAAAGAACCCUAAAAAAGCACACUUGAGGAAGAGGGGUGCAAAAAUGUGUUAUGAGGGAAGACAUAGAAGUUUCCUAUGUGGUGAUGCCGUAGUCCCAAAGGCCUUAUGUGUACCAUACAUAUUGGCACCAAAUUUAAAAAACCAUGGUAACACGGGCCAAAAUCUUCAAGUUAGCAGAGAGCCAUGGUUAUUGGUGGUCUGCAAUCGUAGGAACCCCCACUCUUGAGGCUCACAAGUCACUUUUCAUACCAUAACACACUUGUUUUAAAGUUUGCCUUAAAUUUUUCUAGAACAGCCAGCUACAGUCCUUGCAGAAAGUGGACCCCUGUCAGCAGAAGAAAUUCUCAUAGGAGUUGUUUGAAUGGGAUUGGGGGACCCCUGCAUGCGUGACGCGUAGGUGGCUGCUGAGUGAUUUGGUGAAAGAUAUCUUGCUCUGAACAGCUCUCCCGGGAAGAGGUGUGCAGCCUGAUGAGGUGCAGGGCAUAUAGCAGGUGGCAGACUGUAACCACAAGACUAUCUUUAAAGUAGAUUUUGUGAGAGGCUGGUGCCAUAUAGUACUUUGUGGCCCGCCUCAGUAACAUAGGGCUUUGGUAAAAUAAAAAACCAUAAAAUAAAAUUUAAGAGAUCGGAAACAUAACAAACAGCUGAUAGGGUUAAAGGGUCACAUAUUUAUAGAGCAAGGUUCCAUACGGAAGCAUGGGGCGGUGAAGCGCGUUUCCCCAAAAGAUACAUCAAGCAGUCAAGUAUGAUAGAUUUUACAUCAUUACAGACCACCUCCCAGCUGCUAUGUCCUCAGCAAUUCAUGUAUAGCAGGUCGCUGUGACCCUUCAGACUAAGUUCUUGGUCACCAGACCACCACUUAUGGGAUGAGUCAUUAACAGAGAACCCGGAAACAGCUUGCUAGCUGGAUACCACAGAGGUAGCACAUGAAUCAGAAAAGUGUAGCUAGGUCUGAUUCAUAAGGCACCACAGAAAGUGUUGUGUUGAGGUGGCCUGGGCAGGCUUUGCCAAACCAUGGAGCAUAUUUAAGGAGGGUCUCCCUGCGACUCUGGGAGAGCGUCAGCCAUGGCCUUCCUAUCCACAUCUGUGCUCAUUAAAUGCUGCAUCCUCCUGUUGGCAGGAGGAUUGGCUGAGAGCCUUACUCUAGGUUUGGCACCUGCUCUGUCUACCCACUCUUCUGGAGUGUCAACACAGUCUGUUGAUUUGUCACAAAUUAAAAGAGGCGAUGAGAUCCAAGCCCACUGUCUGACACCAGCAGAAACUGAAGUGACUGAGUGUGCUGGCAUUCUGAAAGAUGUUCUGUCAAAAAACCUUCAUGAGCUUCAAGGGCUCUGUAAUGUUAAGAACAAAAUGGGUGUACCAUGGGUUUCUGUGGAAGAGCUGGGUCAAGAGAUUAUAACAGGCAGAUUGCCAUUCCCCUCUGUGGGUGGCACACCAGUGAAUGACCUGGUACGAGUUUUGGUGGUGGCAGAAUCAAACACCCCAGAAGAGACUCCAGAGGAGGAGUUUUAUGCCUAUGUGGAACUUCAGACUGAGUUGUACACCUUUGGUCUGUCUGAUGACAAUGUGGUUUUCACUAGCGAUUAUAUGACUGUGUGGAUGAUUGACAUUCCCAAAUCUUAUGUGGAUGUGGGCAUGCUCACACGAGCAACUUUCCUGGAGCAGUGGCCGGGUGCCAAAGUGACUGUCAUGAUUCCCUACUCCUCCACCUUUACCUGGUGUGGAGAGCUUGGCGCCAUCUCUGAAGAAUCUGCCCCACAACCAAGUUUGAGUGCCAGAUCCCCGGUCUGUAAGAACAGUGCCAGAUAUUCUACCUCAAAAUUUUGCGAGGUAGAUGGAUGCACAGCUGAAACUGGCAUGGAAAAGAUGUCUCUGCUCACUCCAUUUGGAGGCCCACCUCAACAGGCUAAGAUGAACACUUGCCCAUGCUACUACAAGUACAGCGUGAGCCCACUGCCUGCCAUGGACCACUUGAUCCUAGCUGACCUAGCUGGCCUGGAUUCUCUCACUUCACCUGUUUAUGUGAUGGCAGCAUAUUUUGAUUCUACACAUGAAAAUCCUGUGAGACCAUCCAGCAAGCUUUAUCAUUGUGCUCUACAGAUGACAAGUCAUGAUGGGGUGUGGACUUCAACUUCCAGUGAGCAGUGUCCCAUUAGACUGGUUGAGGGCCAGUCUCAAAAUGUGCUGCAGGUCCGGGUGGCUCCGACAUCGAUGCCUAACCUGGUUGGGGUCAGCUUGAUGUUGGAGGGGCAACAGUACAGGCUGGAGUAUUUUGGGGAUCAUUGAUACUCAGUAACUUAAGAGGAAAUUUUUUUGUUAAAAAUAAAGUUAUUUUUAAAAAA